CCUACGGGAGGCAGCAGUGGGGAAUUUUGGACAAUGGGGGCAACCCUGAUCCAGCAAUGCCGCGUGAGUGAAGAAGGCCCUCGGGUUGUAAAGCUCUUUUGUCAGGGAAGAAACGGUGGUUCCUAAUACGAGCUGCUAAUGACGGUACCUGAAGAAUAAGCACCGGCUAACUACGUGCCAGCAGCCGCGGUAAUACGUAGGGUGCAAGCGUUAAUCGGAAUUACUGGGCGUAAAGCGUGCGCAGGCGGUUUUAUAAGACAGAGGUGAAAUCCCCGGGCUCAACCUGGGAACUGCCUUUGUGACUGUAAGGCUAGAGUGUGUCAGAGGGGGGUAGAAUUCCACGUGUAGCAGUGAAAUGCGUAGAUAUGUGGAGGAAUACCGAUGGCGAAGGCAGCCCCCUGGGAUAACACUGACGCUCAUGCACGAAAGCGUGGGGAGCAAACAGGAUUAGAUACCCUGGUAGUCCACGCCCUAAACGAUGUCUACUAGUUGUCGGGACUUAAUUGUCUUGGUAACGCAGCUACGCGUGAGUAGACCGCCGUGGGAGGUACGGUCGCGAGAAGUUAAACGUAACGUUAAAGAAGUUAGUUACGGCGUGAGACGCCGACGGACGACGACGAGGGAGGAGG
rnacentral:rRNA from 1 species